rnacentral:rRNA from 1 species
UACGUAGGGUGCAAGCGUUGUCCGGAAUUAUUGGGCGUAAAGAGCUCGUAGGCGGUCAGUCGCGUCUGCUGUGAAAACCCGGGGCUUAACCCCUGGCUUGCAGUGGAUACGGACAGACUAGAGGUAGGUAGGGGAGAAUGGAAUUCCCGGUGUAGCGGUGAAAUGCGCAGAUAUCGGGAGGAACACCGGUGGCGAAGGCGGUUCUCUGGGCC